CGCCUAACACAUGCAAGUCGAACGCAGUAGCAAUACUGAGUGGCAAACGGGUGAGUAUAAUGUGGGAAUCUGCCUUUUGGUUUGGAAUAACACGGGGAAACCUGUGCUAAUACCGGAUAAGCCUUUACGGGGAAAGUUUUAACGCCGAAAGAUGAGCCUGCACUUGAUUAGCUAGUUGGUAAGGUAAAAGCUUACCAAGGCAACGAUCAAUAGCUGUUCUUAGAGGAAGACCAGCCACAUUGGGACUGAGACACGGCCCAGACUCCUACGGGAGGCAGCAGUGGGGAAUCUUGCACAAUGGGGGAAACCCUGAUGCAGCGAUGCCGCGUGAGUGAAGAAGGCCCUUGGGUUGUAAAACUCUUUCGUCGGGGAAGAAAAUGACUGUACCCGAAUAAGAAGGUCCG
rnacentral:rRNA from 1 species